UACGUAGGGGGCAAGCGUUGUUCGGAUUUGCUGGGCGUAAAGGGCGCGUAGGCGGCCACCGCAAGUCGACUGUGAAAUCUCCGGGCUUAACCCGGAAAGGUCAGCCGAUACUGCGGGGCUAGAGUGCAGAAGGGGCAACUGGAAUUCUCGGUGUAGCGGUGAAAUGCGUAGAUAUCGAGAGGAACACCUGCGGCGAAGGCGGGUUGCUGGGCUGACACUGACGCUGAGGCGCGAAAGCUAGGGGAGCGAACGGG
rnacentral:rRNA from 1 species